GUCCGCAGCUGGUGUGCGCUCACGUGCGGAACGCGUGGGGCUGCCGGCGACGCGACAUGCCCGCAGUGGCCGCCUCUACCGUAGACUGAAGUCUGCCUGCGGCAGCGACGGUGUGUGGACCUGGUGUGUGCAGCGCGCUGCGGCAGCAUUGAUUACAUCGGUGCGUGGAGGAGAUGGACCAUUACCUGGACUACAUCGGCGGGCCAGCCGGCGCGCUCGCGCUGACUGGCGUGGCGGCAGCGUCCGCCUUCUACCUGGCCACCAGGCCCCGGCCCGAGAAGCCGCUGGUCGACCUCAGCCACCAAAGCGACCAAC